rnacentral:rRNA from 1 species
CCUACGGGUGGCAGCAGUGAGGAAUCUUGGUCAAUGGCCGGAAGGCUGAACCAGCCAAGCCGCGUGAGGGCGGAAGGCGCAGAGCGUCGCAGACCUCUUUUGCCGGGGGACAAAAGGCCGGCCUCGUCCGGUCCUGAGGUUACCCGGAGAAAAAGCCUCGGCUAACUCCGUGCCAGCCGCCGCGGUAAUACGGAGGAUGCGAGCGUUAUCCGUAUUCAUUGGGUUUAAGGGGUGCGCAGGCGGGCCUUUAAGCCGGCGGUAACAUCGCGGGGCUCAACCCCGCCGAGACGUCGGAACUGGGGGCCUUGAGUGCGGCGGAGGCAUGCGGAAUGCGCGGUGGAGCGGUGAAAUGCAUAGAUAUCGCGCAGAACCCCGAUUGCGAAGGCAGCGUGCCGUGCCGCCACUGACGCUGAGGCACGAAAGCGCGGGGAUCGAACAGGAUUAGAUACCCGGGUAGUC